rnacentral:lncRNA from 1 species
AAGUAAGGUCGACUUAGACCCUUGAAAGAAGGAGAAAAAUGAUGAAGAAAAGGGUCAAGAUAGCCGCUGAGUGUCAGAAUGGUCCGCUGAGCGCUCAGAGCGAUUAGAGGCAAACCGCUCAGCGGCAAAACCGACCGCUGAGCGGUCAAAGCAGCAAGAGGCAAACCGUUGAGCGGUGAAUUUAGGCGCCUGGGCGAUUGUCUAUUUUUUUAGUUAGAUUUUGUGAAUCUAUCUGUAAUCUAUCUGUUAUCUUUUUGGGCUUAUAUAUAGCCCCAGUGCGAAUUAGAUAGUGUCGC